UUGCUUCUUUGCUGACGAGCGGCGGACGGGUGAGUAAUGCUUGGGAACAUGCCUUGAGGUGGGGGACAACAGUUGGAAACGACUGCUAAUACCGCAUAAUGUCUACGGACCAAAGGGGGCUUCGGCUCUCGCCUUUAGAUUGGCCCAAGUGGGAUUAGCUAGUUGGUGAGGUAAUGGCUCACCAAGGCGACGAUCCCUAGCUGGUUUGAGAGGAUGAUCAGCCACACUGGGACUGAGACACGGCCCAGACUCCUACGGGAGGCAGCAGUGGGGAAUAUUGCACAAUGGGCGCAAGCCUGAUGCAGCCAUGCCGCGUGUGUGAAGAAGGCCUUCGGGUUGUAAAGCACUUUCAGUCAGGAGGAAAGGUUAGUGGUUAAUACCCGCUAGCUGUGACGUUACUGACAGAAGAAGCACCGGCUAACUCCGUGCCAGCAGCCGCGGUAAUACGGAGGGUGCGAGCGUUAAUCGGAAUUACUGGGCGUAAAGCGUACGCAGGCGGUUUGUUAAGCGAGAUGUGAAAGCCCCGGGCUCAACCUGGGAACUGCAUUUCGAACUGGCAAACUAGAGUGUGAUAGAGGGUGGUAGAAUUUCAGGUGUAG
rnacentral:rRNA from 2 species